rnacentral:rRNA from 1 species
CCUACGGGAGGCAGCAGUGAGGAAUAUUGGCCAAUGGGCGCGAGCCUGAACCAGCCAAGUCGCGUGAAGGAUGACUGCCCUACGGGUUGUAAACUUCUUUUAUAAAGGAAUAAAGUGAGGCACGUGUGCCUUUUUGUAUGUACUUUAUGAAUAAGGAUCGGCUAACUACGUGCCAGCAGCCGCGGUAAUACGGAGGAUCCGAGCGUUAUCCGGAUUUAUUGGGUUUAAAGGGAGCGUAGAUGGGUUGGUAAGUCAGUUGUGAAAGUUUGUGGCUCAACCGUAAAAUUGCAAUUGAUACUGGCAGUCCUGAGUACAGUUGAGGUAGGCGGAAUUCGUGGUGUAGCAGUGAAAUGCUUAGAUAUCACGAAGAACUCCGAUUGCGAAGGCAGCUUACUAAACUGCCACUGACAUUGAUGCUCGAAAGUGUGGGUAUCAAACAGGAUUAGAUACCCUAGUAGUC